GGCUUAGUCCCACCGCCAUCUUUGUCUCGAGAUUUGCUGGAGCCGGACGACCCCUGCUGCUGGUGUAUUUAAAAGGCACGGACUUUUCAAGGGAGACUUUGCUAUUGUGAUACAGAAAAAGAGCCCUUGAAAGCUUUGCGCGAGUCUUGCAUAUUCUUUUUGAAGUCUUGGGGAGCAAAUUUCCAUAUUUUCAGCUCCCACUGCCCCUUUUUCCUGGGGGAUUUCUUUACCGUUUUCUUUACUGUAUCUUUUCCGUUUCCCCCGUAAGUACUUUUUUUGGUUGUUCCUUUUAAGCUGCUUCUCAGAAGUGGACCUGCUGCUUCCUACUUAAUGAAAAGUUUCUUUGAGCUGUCCCAAGAUAAUUUAAAGGAAAUCAGGAAAGCAAAGAAAAAGGAUUCCAAUUAUAAUGUAGUAAAUAAUUGAGAGGAGAGGCCGUGAGCAGUUAUUCCUCCCGUAAUUAUUAGCUCAGGGGUGACCAGAGGACCUGUGUGUAAACCAACAUCGCACCUUACGUGGCCGCGGCUGUGUUGUCUACACUGGGCCUUCACACGUCCAGGACUGUUUUAACUAUACAGCUUUACAGUUACAAACUUCAUACACUUCAUCAUUACAACUUUAGGAACAUGGCAGAAUGACAGAGACAGAGGAAGAAACCAAGAGAGAAAGAAAAAGAAAUCAUCCACCUGCGAGUUCACUCCCCAGAUGGCUGCAGCAGCCAGAUCUGAGCCAAACUGAAGUCAGAAGUGAGGAACUGUGUCUCGGGGUCCAAAUACUUGGGUCAUCAUCUGCCACCUUCUCAGAAUUUACAAGUUGAUUCUAAAAUUCAUAUAGAAAUGCAAAAGACCAAGAACAGUUAAGAUAAUUUUAAAGAAGAAAAAGGCUGGGGGACUUGCACCACCAGAUAUUGUGACUUGUUACAUUGCUACAGUAAUGAAGGCCAGGGACUCAAGACUAGGCAAAGAGUCCAAGGAAACAGAAUAGAAAGAACAGAAAUGAACCCACGGUCUGAAAGUGCAGAGGACAGAGGACACAGACUAUGGGGUGGAGUUACAGACAGUCUGAGGGACAGACAGAGAGAAAGGUCAUCCAUCCCCUGUGUCAAUCCCCAAAUGGCUGUGACUGCUGGAGCUGGGCUGAUCCAAAGCUAUGAUCUUGGAGCUUCUUCCAGGUCUCUCAUGGUGGGGGAACAUUGGACAUUUGAGCUGGAACUUGAAGGAUGUGAAGGGUUGGGCCAGGUGAAGCCCUUCCAAGCAGAGGGAACAGCAAGAACAAACAGGAGGACGUGGC